CAUCCCUCCCAAAAUAACUUGGCCCUCCCCCGAAGCACAGAGUUGAGCAGCCUACCUUUGUUCUGGAGUUGCAGAUAAUAACAGGCAAGCCUCAAGACCAUGAGGAUUUGGAAAAGAUCAGGAGAGUUGGAGGAAAAAAAAAAAAAGAAAAGAAAAGAAAAAAAUAAAGAAAGAAAGAAAGAAAGAAAAGAAAAGAAAGAAAAAGAAAUACUGCAAGCAGAGAAGAAUUGGAAGAAACAGAAAAGCCUGCUAAUGAACUGUAGUGGCUGCCACAGGAUCCGGGUGUCUUCACCAGUGUUUACACCAAUGCUGCCUAACCUGAUCAUCAGCUACGUUCUCUUCUCUGCUGUCCCUGGAAAGAGCUAGAAAAAUGAGUCAGGACCCACAGUCAAGAACACAAGAUGAUCUCAAAGCAAAGUACACUGGAGAUCCAAAAUCAAUCCAGCGUGAGGUCUAAUACAGACUUGAUAAACUCUCUUCUCUAGGCCCCUGGUGGUAGUGGUUCAGGUCAGGGAUGGACCAAUAGUGCAUCAUCAGUUCAGGUGAACAGCCGGUGGGCUCACACAACAAGCCUUGUGUCUUCUGAUAGGACUCAUGGACAAGGGAUGAAGUUGCGGUUCUUUCCUUCUGUGAUAAAAGUUCUACUGUGGUGUGGCGGUGGGAGAGCGAGGUCCUGACAACCUGCCUGGCUUUUCGCCCUGGCUCCAGCCCAACUAGAUUGGCAAACCAGGGCCCUGACUUCCUCCAUGGACAAGAGAGGACCCCAGAUUCAUACAGCCAGGCUUUCUUGGGAGUAGGAACCAUAGUAACACAAACAAUGAAAAAC